GAUCAUGGCUCAGAACGAACGCUGGCGGCAGGCUUAACACAUGCAAGUCGAACGGACGUAGCAAUACGUUAGUGGCGCACGGGUGAGUAACGCGUGGAUAUCUGCCUUUUGGUCGGGAUAACCUUGGGAAACUAGGGCUAAUACCGAAUGGUUCCUACGGGAUAAAGAUUUAUCGCCAAAAGAUGAGUCCGCGUCCGAUUAGCUAGUUGGUGGGGUAAAGGCUCACCAAGGCGACGAUCGGUAGCUGGUCUGAGAGGACGACCAGCCACACGUGGGACUGAGACACCGGCCCAGACUCCGUACGGGAGGCAGCAGGUGGGGUAAUUUUGGACAAUGGGGGCAACCCUGAUCCAGCCAUGCCGCGUGCAGGAUGAAGGCCUUCGGGUUGUAAACUGCUUUUGUCAGGGACGAAAAGGACCGUGUUAAUACCAUGGUCUGCUGACGGUACCUGAAGAAUAAGCACCGGCUAACUACGUG
rnacentral:rRNA from 1 species